GUUUAUGGCUAUGCCACCCUGAACAUACCUGAUCCCAUCUGAUCUCAGAGGCUAAGCAAGGUCAGGCCUGAUUAGUACUAAUGAAAGACCGCCUAGGAAGACCAGGUGCUGUAGCCA
rnacentral:rRNA from 1 species